UCGGGUGUGGUGUACGGUACACACUUCCUUCUCUUGCUGGGUGGCAACAAGAUGGGUGAAAGGAAGAGAUCCGGGUUUGACUCCCGCCGCCCGAA